rnacentral:rRNA from 1 species
CCUACGGGGGGCAGCAGUGGGGAAUCUUGCGCAAUGGGCGAAAGCCUGACGCAGCGACGCCGCGUGAGGGAAGAAGGCCUUCGGGUUGUAAACCUCUUUCAGCAGGGACGAAGCUACUCGGGUGAACAGCCCAGAGGGUGACGGUACCUGUAGAAGAAGCCCCGGCUAACUACGUGCCAGCAGCCGCGGUAAUACGUAGGGGGCAAGCGUUGUCCGGAUUUACUGGGCGUAAAGAGCGUGUAGGCGGCCAAGCAGGUCUGUUGUGAAAACUGGAGGCUCAACUUCCAGACGUCGACAGAAACCGCUUGGCUAGAGUCCGGAAGAGGAGAGUGGAAUUCCUGGUGUAGCGGUGAAAUGCGCAGAUAUCAGGAAGAACACCAAUGGCGAAGGCAGCUCUCUGGGACGGUACUGACGCUGAGACGCGAAAGCGUGGGGAGCGA